rnacentral:rRNA from 1 species
GGAUAACUCCGGGAAACCGGGGCUAAUACCGGAUGCUUGAUUGAACCGCAUGGUUCAAUUAUAAAAGGUGGCUUUUAGCUACCACUUACAGAUGGACCCGCGGCGCAUUAGCUAGUUGGUGAGGUAACGGCUCACCAAGGCGACGAUGCGUAGCCGACCUGAGAGGGUGAUCGGCCACACUGGGACUGAGACACGGCCCAGACUCCUACGGGAGGCAGCAGUAGGGAAUCUUCCGCAAUGGACGAAAGUCUGACGGAGCAACGCCGCGUGAGUGAUGAAGGUUUUCGGAUCGUAAAACUCUGUUGUUAGGGAAGAACAAGUACCGUUCGAACAGGGCGGUACCUUGACGGUACCUAACCAGAAAGCCACGGCUAACUACGUGCCAGCAGCCGCGGUAAUACGUAGGUGGCAAGCGUUGUCCGGAAUUAUUGGGCGUAAAGCGCGCGCAGGCGGUUUCUUAAGUCUGAUGUGAAAGCCCCCGGCUCACCGGGGAGGGUCAUUGGAAACUGGGGAACUUGAGUGCAGAAGAGGAGAGUGGAAUUCCACGUGUAGCGGUGAAAUGCGUAGAGAUGUGGAGGAACACCAGUGGCGAAGCGACUCUCUGGUCUGUAACUGACGCUGAGGCGCGAAAGCGUGGGGAGCGAACAGGAUUAGAUACCCUGGUAGUCCACGCCGUAACGAUGAGUGCUAAGUGUUAGAGGGUUUCCGCCCUUUAGUGCUGCAGCAACGCAUUAGCACUCCGCCUGGGGAGUACGGUCGCAAGACUGAAC